rfam:Candidatus Nanopusillus sp. Nst1 Nst1_C2, whole genome shotgun sequence.
GGGCCCGUAGUCUAGUGGUAGGAUUCUGGCCUCGCUAGCCAGAGGUCCCGGGUUCAAGUCCCGGCGGGUCCA